GCGGGGGCAACCCUGGCGGCGAGCGGCGAACGGGUGAGGAAUACAUCGGAACGUACCCGAGAGUGGGGGAUAACGCCGCGAAAGCGGCGCUAAUACCGCAUAUUCUCUGUGGAGGAAAGUGGGGGACCGCAAGGCCUCACGCUCACGGAGCGGCCGAUGUCGGAUUAGCUAGUUGGUGGGGUAAAGGCCUACCAAGGCGACGACCCGUAGCUGGUCUGAGAGGAUGAUCAGCCACACUGGGACUGAGACACGGCCCAGACUCCUACGGGAGGCAGCAGUGGGGAAUUUUGGACAAUGGGGGCAACCCUGAUCCAGCCAUGCCGCGUGCGGGAAGAAGGCCUUCGGGUUGUAAACCGCUUUUAGCCGGGAAGAAAAGGCGCAGGUGAAUAUCCUGCGUUCUUGACGGUACCGGCGGAAUAAGCACCGGCUAACUACGUGCCAGCAGCCGCGGUAAUACGUAGGGUGCGAGCGUUAAUCGGAAUUACUGGGCGUAAAGCGUGCGCA
rnacentral:rRNA from 1 species